ensembl:lncRNA
GGAGAAGUGGGAGGGGUAGGGUAAAGGAAAGAAGGGAAAGAAAAAAUUAUGAGAAAGGAAAAAAAUGGAAACAAAGUGUGUGUAAAUAGGGAAGGGUGGAGGGAUGAAGGGAGUGCAGGGAAUGGAGAAAAAAGAACCAAGAUACAUCAUGUAAAGGUACAUGUUCCCAAUGAGAAAUGUAAACGUAUUGUAUACCUAAAAUGUACCAAUAAAAGGAUUUUUUUAAAAAGAAUGUGUAUUUGGCUGUUGUUAGUUGCAGUACUCUAUAGACAUCAGAUAAAUAAAAGUGGAUGAUGCUGUUGCUCAAGUCUUCUAUGUCCUUACUGAUUUUCAUUCUACUUUUCCUACCAAUUACAAUUAGAAGUGGGAUUUGAAAUUUGCGGCUAUAAUGUGAAAUCUAAAUUCUAUUGUUUCAUGUAUUUUGAAGUGCUAUUUUUAGGUGCAUAAUGUUUAUGUACUCUUGAUAAAUUCAUUCCUGUAACUCUAGGAAAUUGCACUCUAUUUCUGUUAUUUACUCCAAAACCUGCUUUGAUAUUUGUCUAUCCAUUCAUACGUCUUUUGAUUUGUGUUUAUACAGCAUAUCAUUUCUAUUCAAUUGUGUCUUUCAAAUUUGUGUGUAUUUAAAGUGGAUUAUUUUAGGGAGCAUAGAGUUGGAUCUUGAUUUUUAAAACCAAUUUAACAAUCUUUGCAUAUAAAUGUGUUUAGACUGUUCGUAUUUGGUGUGAUUAUGAGUACUACUGAGUUUAAGUCCAUCAUCUUGCUAUGUGUUUCAUCUAUGUUUUUCCUAUUUAUCUCAUCCCUUCAUUUUCUCUUUUUUUCUGCUUAAUUUUGAUUAUUCUAACAUUUUAAUUCACACUACAAAAUCUACAGGUUUAAAGUGUAAAAUUAAAUGAUUUUUGAUGUAUUCAGAGAUUUAUGCAACCCUCACAAUUUUAGAAACUUCAUCACCUCCCCAAAGAAACCUAGUACCCCUUCACUAUAAUCUCCACCCCUAAUCCUAGGCAUUAUUUACUGUAAAUUCUUUAUAGAUUUGACUAUACUGGUCAUUUCAUAUAAAUGGAAUAAUAUAAUAUGUGGUUCUUUGUGACUAGCUUAUUUCACAACAUAAUUUUUUAAAUGUUCAUCUAUAUUGUGAUGUUAUUGUUACUUCAUUGCUUUAUAUUGCCAGAUACUCUAAUUGUGUGGAUGUGCCACAUUUUCUUUAUUCAUUGAUUGAUAGACAUUUGGACUGUUUCCAAAUUUUGGCUAUUCUGAAUAUGACUGCUAUGAAUGUUUGCUUAAUUUCAACUUUAUUGGCAUAAUGUUGUUCAUAAUAUAGCUUUAUUAUUUUUGAAUGUAUAGACUAUGCAAUAAUGCCACAUUUCUCAUAGAUAAUUUAUAUCUCUUUUUUUUCCUGAUUAGUAUGACUAGUGGUUCAUUAAUUUUAUUAAACUCCACAAAUAACUAUAUUUUUGUCUCAUCAAUUUUCUAUAUUGUUUUUGUAUUUUCUAUUUCACUGAUUUCAUAUAUUUUCCCAUCUUCCAGGUGUCUAAGGCAGGAGGAUAAGUCCAGUCUCUGUCACUAUAUGAUGACCAGAAACAGAAGUCCUGUUCAGUGUUCUAGUGGAAAGACAAAGACUUGUGCCCAGCCCAGCUACAGAAUAACUCCAGUGUGGCCUCCGGUCACAACUGAGACUUCAGUGAUCCAGUGAUGCUGUGAUUCUCCAGGACAAGAAACAUCCUGGAGAACAAACAUCUGCUCAGUUCCUCGUUGUUCUUGGACUGUUAACAUCUUGUUUACCCGAGAUGUACUGAACUCUCUGCAAGCCUUUUGUUGCACCUUGUUUACCCCAAUGUGAACUAUUGAACUCUCUGCAAGUCAUUUGUUACGAGGGGCAAGCAGUGAAUGUCACAGAUGGAGAAAGGGUUGGCUCAAUUUGGGAAAAGUGCUUCAAGGACAGAGACACUUAGGGGGGUCUUCAAGAGACCUGCUAUAUUUCAUGCUUGUAAAAUCAAUGGAAACACUGCAGUCUUUAGCUACAGCUGAUACAUACUAUGGUGGAAUUUUGCUUUGCUUUGUGGGAACAUUUUGGGUCUUUUCAUUUUCUUGGAUUCCUUCAAUCUGACAGUGGUGCCCACAUUCAUUUCUCCAACUGCACCUUCAACAACUGAAUGAUUUAGUCUUAGAAACCUCAGAAAAAGGCCAAUCAACAUUCUUUCUUACUCAUUAGUUGCUCCAUGUAACAAUAUACAGUAGAAGAUAAUUGUAAGUUAUCAAAAGCUUUUCUAUAUUGGAAUAAUGUUUUUCAGUUAAUAUUUAUUGAGCACUUCCUUGAUGGAAUUUCCAAUAAUUUAUGAUAAUAAACAAAAG